AACGAACGCUGGCGGCAGGCUUAACACAUGCAAGUCGAGCGCCCAGCAAUGGGAGCGGCGCACGGGUGAGUAACACGUGGGAACGUGCCCUUUGGUUCGGAAUAACGUAGGGAAACUUGCGCUAAUACCGGAUAAGCCCUUACGGGGAAAGAUUUAUCGCCAUUGGAGCGGCCCGCGUUGGAUUAGCUAGUUGGUGGGUAAAGCCUACCAAGGCAACGAUCCAUAGCUGGUCUGAGAGGACGACCAGCCACACUGGGACUGAGACACGGCCCAGACUCCUACGGAGGCAGCAGUGGGGAAUCUUGGACAAUGGGGGAAACCCUGAUCCAGCCAUGCCGCGUGAGUGAUGAAGGCCUUAGGGUUGUAAAACUCUUUCGG
rnacentral:rRNA from 1 species